rnacentral:rRNA from 1 species
AUUGAACGCUGGCGGCAUGCCUUACACAUGCAAGUCGAACGGCAGCACGGGAGCAAUCCUGGCGGCGAGUGGCGAACGGGUGAGUAAAGUAUCGGAACGUGCCCAGUCGUGGGGGAUAACGUAGCGAAAGUUACGCUAAUACCGCAUACGAUCUAUGGAUGAACGCGGGGGAUCGCAAGACCGCGCGCGAUUGGAGCGGCCGAUAUCAGAUUAGGUAGUUGGUGGGGUAAAGGCUCACCAAGCCGACGAUCUGUAGCUGGUCUGAGAGGACGACCAGCCACACUGGGACUGAGACACGGCCCAGACUCCUACGGGAGGCAGCAGUGGGGAAUUUUGGACAAUGGGCGAAAGCCUGAUCCAGCCAUGCCGCGUGCAGGAUGAAGGCCUUCGGGUUGUAAACUGCUUUUGUACGGAACGAAAAGGUUUGGCCUAAUAAGCUGAGCUCAUGACGGUACCGUAAGAAUAAGCACCGGCUAACUACGUGCCAGCCGCCGCGGUAA